rnacentral:lncRNA from 1 species
ACAUAUACAUUACCACGUGGUUAGUUGCUGACUUAACAUGUGAAUAAUUAUUUUUAAACUAAGAAAAAAUAAAAAAUAUUAAAAAAAACCCUCAAAUUUAAACAUGAUAUAUAUUGUUCACCCACGUUUAACUAUUUAAACGUCAUUAUUAAAAAAGAUUUUGUUUACAAAAAUUAACAAAAAUUAAGACCUUAUCCAAC